rnacentral:rRNA from 1 species
UACAGAGGUGGCAAGCGCUGUUCGGAAUUACUGGGCGUAAAGGGCGCGUAGGCGGCCAUCUAAGUCAGACGUGAAAUCCCCCGGCUUAACCUGGGAACUGCGUCUGAUACUGGACGGCUUGAGUAUGGGAGAGGGAUGUAGAAUUCCAGGUGUAGCGGUGAAAUGCGUAGAUAUCUGGAGGAAUACCGGUGGCGAAGGCGGCAUCCUGGACCAUUACUGACGCUGAGGCGCGAAAGCUAGGGGAGCAAACGGG